rnacentral:lncRNA from 12 species
AUGGUUUCUUUCUCUCCCCAGGUGAAAUUCAGCUCUGUUCCCUGCUGGUUGUUGUUGGUUCUGAUGGUUUCUUUCUCUCCCCAGGUGAAAUUCAGCUCUGUUCCCUGCUGGUUGUUGUUGGUUCUGAUGGUUUCUUUCUCUCCCCAGGUGAAAUUCAGCUCUGUUCCCUGCUGGUUGUUGUUGGUUCUGAUGGUUUCUUUCUCUCCCCAGGUGAAAUUCAGCUCUGUUCCCUGCUGGUUGUUGUUGGUUCUGAUGGUUUCUCUCUCUGCAGGUGAAAUUCAGCUCUGUUCCCUGCUGGUUGUUGAUGGUUCUGAUGGUUUCUCUCUCUCCAGGUGGAGUUCAGCUCCAUUUCCAUGCUGCUUGUUGAUUUCUGUGGUUUCUCUCUUUCCCCAAGGUACAGCUGAACUCCCAUUUCCCUCCUGGUUGUUGCUGGUUGUUGCUGGUAUCUGAUGGUUGUUGCAGGCUGUUGCAGGCUGUUGCUGGUUGUUGCUGGUUUCUGAUGGUUCCUCUCUCCCCCAGGGGGGGGGGGGGGGGGGGGGGGGGGGGGGGGGGGGGGGGGGGGGGGGGGGGGGGGGGGG